rnacentral:rRNA from 1 species
GUGUCAGCAGCCGCGGUAAAACGUAGGAGGCGAGCGUUAUCCGGAAUCACUGGGCGUAAAGGGCAAGUAGGCGGUGGCCAAAGUUGGGCGUGACAGGUCUCGGCUUAACCGAGAGAGGUCGUCCAAAACUAGGCCACUAGGGAGCAGGAGAGGAAGGCGGAACUCCUAGUGUAGCAGUGGAAUGCUUAGAUAUUAGGAGGAACACCGGUGGCGAAGGCGGCCUUCUGGCCUGUGUCCGACGCUGAGAGGCGAAAGCUAGGGGAGCGAACGGGCUUAGAUACCCCGGUAGUCCUAGCCGUAAACGGUGGAUACUAGGUAUUGGGGGUGACACUCCCGCAGUGCCGAAGCCAACGCGUUAAGUAUCCCGCCUGGGGACUACGACCGCAAGGUUAAAACUCAAAUGAAUUGACGGGG